AAAAGAAGGAAGCAUGGUAAUGUGCACAGAAAUGGAAUCUUUGGGUGAACAUGUCUGCUCCCUCUGAUCCGAUUCUUUUUUCAUGAUGAGGGGGCCUGGUUUGCACCCACAUUU